rnacentral:miRNA from 1 species
GAUCUGGUCUGGGGUGAGAGU